rnacentral:rRNA from 1 species
AUGAGUACACUUUAAAUCCUUUAACAAGGAUCCAUUGGAGGGCAAGUCUGGUGCCAGCAGCCGCGGUAAUUCCAGCUCCAAUAGCGUAUAUUAAAGUUGUUGCGGUUAAAAAGCUCGUAGUUGGUUCUGCGUGCCGCGCUGUCGGUUCGCCGCCUGUCGGUGUAACUGGCAUGUCGCGGCAUGUCCUGUCGGUGGUGAACGGGAUUCCCGGUGCAGCGUAGGCUUUUAGCCGAAGUUUGUGCCGUGUGAAGUCCGUUUACCGAUCUCUCCUACUCCGGUGCUCUUAAACGAGUGUCGAGGUAGGCCGACACGUUCACUUUGAACAAAUUAGAGUGCUUAAAGCAGGCUGAAAUAUCUGCCUGAAUAGUGGUGCAUGGAAUGAUAAAAUAGGACCUCGGUUCUAUUUUGUUGGUUUUAGGAAUGUGAGGUAAUGAUCAAUGUGGACUGGCGGGGGCAUUCGUAUUGCGACGUUAGAGGUGAAAUUCUUGGAUCGUCGCAAGACGCACUAAAGCGAAAGCAUUUGCCAAGUAUGUCUUAAUUGAUCAAGAACGAAAGUUAGAGGUUCGAAGGCGAUCAGAUACCGCCCUAGUUCUAACCAUAAACGAUGCCAGCCAGCGAUCCGCCGAUGUUCCAUUAAUGACUCGGCGGGGAGCUUCUACCCGGGAAACCAAAGCUUUUGGGUUCCGGGGGAAGUAUGGUUGCAAAGCUGAAACUUAAAGGAAUUGACG